CUGGUUUCAAAGGCAGCCAAGUUGACUUACCCUUCAGAGGUAAAAUAAGUUCCACAUAUGUAAAUGGCCUGAUCUUUAUCCUAAAGAUCAAGAAGUUUGCUGAAUAAGAAUCGAGCUUAGUGUGCAAGAGAGUUGUGUGCAGAAACUUUAAAAGACUGUCAAAUCCAGUCACUGCCCAAAAGAGUUUUUGGAGAAGCUAUCAUAAGCGAAGAACAGAGCUCAUGAAGUCGCUUUCUGAAGAAGCUUCAAGGAGAAUUGGGAAGGACUAAACAACAUCCUGUCUGUAUCACCUCAGACCUAUUAUUUCUCAUCCUCAGAGCUCAGGCUUCCUCUGACCCCCAACCAGGAUUCCAUUUUUCUCCACUAAAUCUUUUGGAGACCUUAAGUGUGUUCCCACCCUUCUGAUGGGCUGCAAGAUGCCUUCCUGUAGUUUUAUGGCACUCUCUUCUAUUCCAGUACCAGCCUCUAGGCCUGCUGCCUGACUUUAGUACCUUCCUCUGGGAUCCAAGCAUGGGGUCAGCUUCUUGUCUGGCACAUACAGUCUGAUGGGGCUGGAGGGAGGAGAGUCCUGUAGAUUAUACUCCUAAUGCAGGCUGGUGUGCUACCCCACACAGACUGCCUGGGACCUGAGGGCAUUGCCAUUAACCUUCACACAGCAACAGGUACUUACGUGACAGAAGGGCCAGAACUGGGAGCAGAAGGGUAGGGUUGCAGCAUCUCUUCUGAGUGGAUCCCGCUGUCACGGACAGCCUCAGGCCCUGCAGUGGGAGAAGCAUCUUGCCCGGCAUUUGCACACUGGGAAGCCAGCCCUUUGUACAGCUUCGCCAUGGAUGACCUAACAGGAAUGGAGGUGCUACCCGCCCUGUGGGAAAAUGAUGUGAAGAAGUCAGCUCAUCAGCUUCUCCGUGCUUCUGUGACACAGGACACGAGCAAUGUAUUGUCCUGGACGCAGGCCAAAAGAAAGUAGUCAGGAUAGCAGGUGAGCAAACUAGGGAAGAAAAUACAGGAAGAGGAGGAAGGAGGAUGCCAAAGACAGUGUCUUAUUUUGGAAUUUGUCCUCCUUGGUCCUGGAAGCUUAUUCUUCAACAUUGCAUCUUCACUGUUCCUGGAUCAGGCCAUCCUCUCUUCCCCGGACCUGUCCAUUGAAAUGAAGAGUAAGAGA